rnacentral:rRNA from 1 species
UAUUGCGCAAUGGGCGAAAGCCUGACGCAGCGACGCCGCGUGAGGGAUGAAGGUCUUCGGAUCGUAAACCUCUGUCAGCAGGGCAGAACGGUCACUGUGCUAAUCAGCAGUGACUUGACGGUACCUGCCAAGGAAGCAACGGCCAACUCCGUGCCAGCAGCCGCGGUACUCCGGAGGGUGCGCGCGUUAAUCGGAAUUACUGGGCGUAAAGCGCUCGUAGGCGGUAUGUCAAGUCAAGGGUGAAAUCCCCGCGCUCAACGUGGGAACUGCCUUUGAAACUGGCAAACUGGAGUGUGUGAGAGGAUAGUGGAAUUCCAGGUGUAGGAGUGAAAUCCGUAGAUAUCUGGAGGAACAUCAGUGGCGAAGGCGACUAUCUGGCACAUAACUGACGCUGAGGAGCGAAAGCGUGGGUAGCAAACAGGA